rfam:Neurospora tetrasperma FGSC 2509 unplaced genomic scaffold NETTE2scaffold_5, whole genome shotgun sequence.
GGUCCGCUGGCUCAAUGGCAGAGCGUCUGACUACGAAUCAGGAGGUUCCAGGUUCGACCCCUGGGUGGAUCG